AAGCAUACACAAGGUUGUGUGCAGGUACCCAUGUAUUAUAGCCAACUAAAACAUGUAUUCUAUCCAACUCAAACAUCAGGUAUCCAGCGUAGUCUCCAUCAGGUAGCCAGCUUGUGACUAUCGUUCAACAUUAUAUGCUUCAUUACUCUCAUUUCCUGGAACAAUAUCUCGGGGUUUGCAAAAAAAGGCAAAGGUGAUUAGUUAUCAUUACAUACAAAUAUUUGUUCUCUGGAAAACUAGAUUAAAAUGUUGAGGAUGGCAACUUGAUAUCCUGUUUGUUCUGCAACUAGAAAUGCUGGUGAUGACAACUAAUGAGAUAUUCUUGUGCGACUAGAAAUGCUGAUGAUGCCAACUAAUGAGAUAUUUUUGUGCAACUAGAGAGGCUGAGGAUGCCAACUACUUGGAUAAUGUUGUCCAACUAGAAUUGUAGAGGGUGCCAACUAAAUAGAUAAUCUUCUGCAAGUAGAAAGCCUGAGGGUGCCAAGUGAUUAGAUACCGUUGGGCAAUCCUCAAAUUUUUUAAGAUGGGAUUAAUCUGAAUUUUUGUGCAACUAGAGAGGCUGAGCAUAUCAACUACUUGGAUAAUAUUGUCCAACUAGAAUUGCCGAGGGUGCCAACUAAAUAGAUACUCUUCUGCAACUAGAAAGCCUAAGGGUGUCAAGUCGCUACAUACUAUAGGGAAAUCCUCAUUUUUUUUAAGAUGGAACUAAUCUGAGUUCUUGUGCAACUAGAGAAGAUGAGGAUGUCAACUAGUUAUUGUUGUGCAAUUAGAAUUACCGAGGUUGCCAACUAAUUAGAUAUUAUUCUGCAACUAGAAAGCCAGAGGAUGCCAAGUCGUUACAUACUCUUGGGACAAUUCUAAAAAACUUGAAGAUGGCAACGUUGAGCAACUGAGAAAGUAGAGCAUGCCAAUGCUUAAUUAGUCCUUCUGCAACCAUGUAUGAAAAUUCAUACACUUGGCUGCCUGUAUGUGGAGUAAAAAGUAUUCAUGAUAGAACUUUAUGUUACCACAGCGGCUGCUGCAGAAGAUGUGGCAUCUACCCCUUUAGAUACUGCCUCCGCGCGCACAUUUCUUCUCUGCAGAUUUACUAAGAGGAAUCUUUCGCCACCAUAAAGUUUUGCCUAGCAGAUUCUGUGCAACUACUUCUAUUGCCCCUGCCAACUACUUCCAAUGACUGUGUCCAACUGAAAACAACUAUGUAUGCAACUAGAACUACUAUAGAUGCCAACAAAAAAUGAUCACCAUAUGUGCAGCUUUCCAAUGACCGUAUCCAACUGAAAACAACUAUGUGUGCAACUAGAACGACUAUAGAUGCCACCCAAAAUUGAUCGCCGUGUGUGUAAUUUUCCAAUGAUCGUGUCCAACUGAAAACAACUAUGUGUGCAACUAGAACUACUAUAGAUGCCAACAAAAAAUGAUUGCCAUGUGUGCAAUUUUUCAAUAAUAGGAUCCAACUGAGAACAACUGUAUGUGCAACUACAACUACUAUAGUAAUGAUCGUCUCUGACGAAAACAACUAUGUGUGCAACAAGAAUUACUAUAAAUGCCAAAAAUGAUCGCCAUGUGUAUUCAGUUCAAUGUAUUCCGUUCCACUUUCACCGCCGUAGGAAAAAGGUUUAGUGUUGUGCAACUUUCUAAUUGUCGUAUCCAACCAAGAACUGCUAUGUGUACAACUACAACCACUACGGAUGCCAACUAAGAAUGUGAAGAUCAAUAUAUCUGAAAAAGUGAUACAUACAAUCAGUAGAAACAGAGGGCAAAAAUACAAAGGAACGAAACAGAUAAAAUUGUUGCUUACGAAUCAAGUGCUGCUUCUUCUGCUUCUACACGGAGAUAUAUUGGCUGUGAGUAUCGAGCAACUGCUUUGCUUUGCAUGCUAUAACCCCCGAAGGGCAUCCUCGUCGUUCAAUAGCCGUUGGCCGUCGUUGUUGCAACAGCAGUCACAUCGCGGGCGCGCGAUAGUUGGUGUUGAGUUCAGUGAGGAUGCAGGCCGAGAGCCACGCAGGUCGCCGCCGGCGAGCACCUUAACCCCACACGGCUAGCCCUUCGUAAUAGCGUGCAUUCAUUUGGAUAUUACACACAUCGUCCUUCAUUCUGCAGUACAAGUAGACAAGAGGGAUGCAUACCUGCUUAUUACAAUUCUCAGCCCGUUUGGACAACGGCGGAAAAUCUUGACAUCCUUGCUUAUCUUCCUCUUGAGCCACUGGCAGAGCUGCGCUGGGUCCGCCUUCCCCGCCACGGCCACGACUCCAGUGCCGACGUUUCCAUCC
rnacentral:lncRNA from 1 species